CCGAGCCUCGGUUUUGGAUUUUCGUAGCUCUUGUACCGGUACAAGAUCCCGUGUAUCGGUACAAGGAGGCUGAUUUCGUGCAGUUUGUUCUGCAGGGGCUUAUUUGCGAUUGUGUCCUAGGGCACUCCCCUGAGCUGGGAAGAGCAGAGAACCAGGUAAGGAAGCUUCCCACACCUUCCCACUUGAUUUUGAUCUCAUUCUAGCUUGGAUUUUGAUGGUUUUUCCCUCUCUUUUGCCUAUUGGAGCUAUUUCCACCAUUUUUGAAGCUUGGAACUUGGGUUUGGAGUUUGAUUGAGGGAAGAUACUUGAAGUUUGAGGACUUUGAGCUGGUUUUGAGGCUUCUAAGAGGUAAGUGGCAAGAUCCUUUCCUCUAGUUUUGGAUUUUAGAGCUUUCUUUGAGAUGAAACCCUAGUUUUGAGACUUAGGGUUUAUUUUGGGCUUUUUGAACCUAGGGCUUUUGAGGCUUGAUUGGUUGGUUUAGAACCUUCCUAGGGCUUGGAUUGGAAGGGUUCUAGCUCUCUUUUGGAGCUUAGGAGAAGAUUUCUACUCUUGAGGUGAGUUUUGGCCCUUUUGCUUCUAGGUUAAAGAUUGAGCUUAUUGCUCUUCGUAUCGAUUGGAUGACACCAUUUUUGAUGUUCCUAGGGUGCUAGAAAGCUUGUGGAAAUCUCCGUUCGGCGAAACGAAAGUUUCGAUUUUGGUGGGUUUGACCUAGCCUUUGAUAUGAGAAAAUCUCAUAUUUGGUGAUAAGUGCUUCGUGUACUAAUAACUCAUGCAUUUUCAUAUUAAAUGUAUUUAUUAUGAAUUUUAGAGUGCUUAAAAUGCCCAUGUUAUAUGUAAUGAAAUUUUGGACCUCUAUGUAGUAGAGAGUUGCUUGAGAGAGAGUUGGUUGCAUUUAGCAUUCUAUAUGAGAUUUGGUUUCAUGUUUCUAUAGAGUAAAUGAGCUAUGAUUCAUGCGUUUAAACAUAAGUUUAAUUGAGACAUGAAAGAUGACAAUUGCUAUAUAUAUAGGCAUCGAACUUGAUAUCAUGUGAAUUAGAGAGCUAAUGUCAUCAAGCGGCAUUGAGCUCAGGACAUGUGUGAACCUAGUGGAUAGGGCCAUUGAGGGAUUUGGAAAACAUGUUGAACAUCAAAUUGCCUAAGUGUCAUCAAGGGGCACUAGGCGUAGCAAAUGUUGAAACUUCACAUUGUGACUUAAACUAGAUCUUCGGGAUGCUAGUGACUAUACCAUGUUAGAGACAUGAGGGUUGGAUACUUGAGACUUGGACUAUGCUUGCUUGCCAUUUGUGCUCAUUCGCACAUGCUUGUGAGGGUCGCUCCCUACAAGCCGG
rnacentral:lncRNA from 1 species